UACACCAAUAUUUUGAUAACAAAUGCAUAUCUAACAACAUAUAACACGAUAUUAAUGAAAAUAGGUUAAGCUAAUACAUAAAUUCCAACAUAAACUUGUUUAGUUCAUCAUUCUAACAAAAUAACAAAGAGAUUCUCAUAAACAUAUCAUUACAAAUAUGAAGAACUAAAUGAAAGGAAUACAAAAGUUGAGAUAAAACCCUUUUAAAUACGAAUUGUAAUUCCUUCAAUGUAUUCUUCAAGCUUUCCCUAAUGAUCUCCUUACUAUAUCCACUUGAUUCCCAAAAUAAAACUAAAAUUAACAAAAGAAAAUAAAAUUAAAAGAAAAAAAAUCAAGAAAAAGAGAGAGAGAGACCAAGAGAGAUAGAGAGAAAAG
rnacentral:lncRNA from 1 species